UCGGACGACAAUGUGAUGUCAAGGCGAAUCAAGAAGUUCUUCAUGCGAUUCCAACACGCUCCUAAUGUACUGGGAAUGUGGGGAGUGCAGCAGCAUCAGUGCAGCACCAAUGGUCAGAUGCGACGGCUGUGAUAAAUGGUACCACUUCCGUUGCGCGGGACUGUCUAAGGAGCCAGAAACACCGACAUGGCGAUGCAGGUGGUACUGCCUGGUGAGGCCGCGGUCUCCGGAAUCGCCUGCAGACGAAGUCACCUGGCGUCCAUCUGCACAUCACUUGCAGAAGUGAGGCCUGCUGACAGCGUCUGGCAGUGUCGGCAACGUGCCAGACAGCUAUCUGGAGUCCUGCUCACCGCAGGUCGCCGACAGGAGGGGCGACGCAUCGUCUCCGAGGUCGCCUCAGCAUCAGUGAGACCCCACUGGCCGUCUUCUUAGGCUUCAACUAGAUUGCGAACAACCUAUGCUGAGACAACGCCCAUGACGUGUGAUCCGGUACCGCUACCGCACUGCGUGCCUGUGCCCGCCGUGAGCCGCUAGUGCAUGGGUUCGACCAUGAGAAUGUGUGUUUAUGUUGCUUUUACUAUUGUUUAUACGUUGAAGUGACGAAUUGUUUAUUUUUCGCAAGCCUCCGCUGUCCGGUUGCCUGCAGCUCCAUGCAACGCCAGCUGUACUGUUGUUUUAAUGUUGUCUCUCCGCUCAGCUGUACUGUUGCCUCUCCGCUCAUAUAUGACACCCUCUAUAUGAAUGGCACUACUGAUUGUCACACCCACUGUCCGUAUUGUCCGUAGUGGUGUCUACGCCCAUGUUAAUACAGCGUGCAGAAUCCA